rnacentral:lncRNA from 1 species
CAUAUAUUACAAGAUAAAUCAGUCCCUAAUGUUCAGUUAUUACAAAAUGAACUAGUUCAAACGUUUAAUUACAACAAGGUGAGUGUAUUAAAACUAAACGAGGGGAAAACAGGGUGAGGAUUCAAAACCAAAAAAAGAUAGAAGCAGAUCUCCAUACUUAAGAAUACAUUCUAUUUCAGCUUCAAUACAUCAAUGAACAUCGAAUGUACCUGCAAUUCAGCAAAGAAUGAAAGCCUAUGAGUAAAUGCAAUUAAUCAGCCAAGCAUAACAGUAGCCAAUCAAACAGUACACCUUGGACUUCAGCAGAUUUUUGAGUGAAUUAAAAUCUCAAAAUGAUAAGAACAGCACUGAUCUUUUAUCAAAGAUAUAGGAAGAACUAAUAUGUAUUUUGCUCUUCUAGAAUUCAAAAGAAAAGUUCCGGAUGCCUUCAAAAAAUGCUCAUAUGCUUUCUUUUAUAAUGGAGCCUUUGGGAACCACCUUUUCCCUAGUUUUUCUUUUAGUCCUUGCUUCAUAUUUACACUUUUCCUAAAUGGUCCUUCAUUUCUUGACUUGUGCCUCAAGUUUGAGGCAGAAAUUAUAUUUUUGCCCCUCACUAGAAGGUUUUGGAGGUUAUUAUCAGGUUCUCUUAAAGAUCAAAUACCUCUUAUACCCCCAUUUCUUUCCUAAAUAACAAUUCUGAAAUUUGAACCUCAGUCUAUCAUCUGGUUUGGUUACAAUUGACCCAGGUUAAUUAUGUUCAAGUUUGGGUCACAUUUUAGUCUUGGACUAACAGGCUUAUUAAAGUUCAAAAUUAGCCAAAAUUAGUCAGGUUUUAAAACUAGUGCCUUAAUGUGAUUUUUCAAUAACCAAACAUUAUACAGGAUGAUCAUUCAAAAAACAAUAUCAAUCAGGUUUUAAAACAAGUGCCUUAAUGUGAUUUCUCAAUAACCAAACAUUUUACAAGAUGAUCCUUCAAUAUCAAAAACAAUAAAUUAAAAUGCCCAGAAGAGGGGAACCAUCCCUCAACACUUAACUUGCAGAAAUAAACCAAUUAAAGUAUUCAGAGAUCUUGAAAAUGAAAAGCAUACAGCAGGAAGUGAACACUUAGUUCAUGAAUCUAAUUGGAAAAUUAAGGCUAACAUUAGCAAUUAAAGGUCCAACCAAACAAAUCAGCCUAAAAUAAUACCAGUACUGAAGAUCAAAAUUACUAUGAAAAUCCAACACUUAGUAGCAUGAACAACUAACAAAACUAAAUAAAAAUCACACUACUCAAGAAGCUAAUAUUAACAGGACAUCAAACCGUUCAAGAGACGAAGGGAUUUCAGACUAGUAACUACCAAGGCAUAUAGCAAGUAUAGCUGACUGUUUAGCCUAUUUCAUAUGAGAUUAUGUGAAACAAAUAAUCAUUCAAAACAAAGCAGCUAACAAUUAUAAAAACACAACAAUUAUGCACAGGUGAAGAUAGUGAUUAAAAUACAUGAGGCUUAGCUUUUAUACACAUGCAAAUCCGACUUGGAAUUACUUUAUUGGUUUCAGACCUCUUCUGUAGAGGUUUUUGAACCUUCUAGGGCAAAUGGCAUGGUGGAUAAUAGGUUCAGGAUUUCCGGAAGAACAUUUAUGACUUUGAGACCCCAGUGAAGUCUCAGAUCUGAAUUUCUUUAGUGAUUGGUGUUGUGUGGGGGUUGUGAAAGGUAUGGUUGGGGAAAGCAACAGAUGGGGACUGUCUGAGACGAAUUUGAACAAAUUCCGACAGGGUUGAGUUUUAGGCUUAAACUUCAACUUAAUAUUCGAAGCGUUCUGAAUGGAUUCGAAGGGUGUAACACACAUGGUUGGAAAGAGGAUGAUGAGUUGUUUUAGGGGUGUGAUUUUGGAGGGGUUUGGAAUUGAAUCGUCGGAGAUGGAGGUUCUGACGACCUUUCUGUGAAGAUUUUAGAUGAUGGGGGGUCAUUUGAAGGGAAAGGGCUGCAGGAUGGGGAGGUUUGGGACAAGGUCACCGGAGACGGUGGUUCCAGAGACUUUUAUUUUGAAUAUUCUAGAAGCUAGGGCCUUAUUUGAUGAAAACUAAACACAGGACGGAAAAGAGCAGGUUGUGAUGGUUUGAGGUGUAAAUCUGGGGACGUUUGGUGACCAGCCGCCUUCGUGAGGUGAUUUUCGGCGGCGGCGUUAGGGUGGUAGACUAGUGGUCAAUGGGUGGUCAAGGGCGGCCAGGGGUGGUCAAGGGGUGGCCAAGGGUGGUGUUACAGUGGAGUAGAUUGUAAGAUGAAGAAUGGAA